UACGUAGGGUGCAAGCGUUAAUCGGAAUCACUGGGCGUAAAGGGAGCGUAGGCGGGUUUCUAAGUCAGGCGUUUAAUCCCGGGGCCCAACCCCGGACAGGCACUUGAAACUGGGAAUCUUGAAUAGUGGAGAGGUCAGUGGAAUUGGGGGUGUAGCGGUGGAAUGCGUAGAGAUCCCCAAGAACACCAGUUGCGAAGGCGGCUGACUGGACACAUAUUGACGCUGAGGCUCGAAAGCAUGGGGAGCAAACAGG
rnacentral:rRNA from 1 species